UAUCCGAACUUUUUUGCAUUUUCUUUGUUUCUAGCCUAAUUAAAUUGUCAGUGUUACUCUAGACCUUUCGAGGCCCAGACCCGUGUGAAGUUCUAAUAUAACAGAAUGCAGUGUUCCUUGUUUAAACUUUGGAAAAGAUCUAGGGUCCGUUGUUUAGGAACACUUAGUGGCACAUCGUUCAUUAUAUUGAGUAAAGAGCACACAACUUAAAUAGGUUCCAAUGGAAAUUACUUCCUAAAGUAAUUGGAAUCGGCAUAAGCUUGGAUAAGGAUCCAAUCUCCUGUCUAUGUUUGGCAUGAUACACAGUCUCUUAAGCUGAUUCUUGCGUCCCUAUUUAAUCUUUUAAUGCUCAUACUUUAUUUUAACAACUUGAGAAAGGCAAAGGUUCACCUGUGUUAUCAUUGAUUGCUCUGCCAGUUUGAUCUCAUUAAAGGAACGCACUGCUGGUUUGAGCUUUUCUUGUACAUUCUACUGAUUAACAAGUAAAGCUCAUUGGUUGUCACUUUUGUGGUUGUCAUUAUUGUCGUCAAUGGGGACAUGAUUUUCGUCCAGAUUAUAGGGGACUGGAAUGUCUUAAGCAGAACUUUCCGUAUGUCCCAGUGAUGGCCUUAACUGCAACUGCCACUCAGUCAGUCUGUGAGGUACUAAACUUACACAUUAACCUCCUGAUUAUCUUGAAAUAAUCUGUUUGCUGUGAUUGAAUUAUACAUCCAUUGCAUGAUAUCCUAAAAGCUCUUGGGGUUCCCCAUACUCUUCUUCUUGAGACAAGCUUUGACAGACCAAAUCUCAAAUAUGAGGUCAUAGCUAAGACCAAGGAACCACUGAAGCAGCUUGGAGAGCUGCUAAAGAAUCGUUUUGCUAAUUUUUGUGGCAUAAUAUAUUGCCUUUCAAAGAGUGAAUGUGUUGAUGCCGCAAAAUACUUGAAUGAGAAGUGCUGUAUAAAGACGGUGUACUAUCAUGCUGGAUUAGCAGCCUGUCAAAGAGUAGCUGUUUAAAAGAAAUGGCAUAUUGGAUAGGUCCAGAUUGUAUGUGCUACCAUUGGCUUUGGGAUGGGAAUAGACAAACCUGAUGUUAUAAGUCGAAAUGGACUCUGGCUUCUGCCUUUUUUUUAUGUUUUAGAAUCAAGCUGACAUGCUGGCAAAUACUCGGCUAAUUAACUUUUCUUCUUUUGUUUUAGCUUUGCUGAUGGGUUUCAUAGUGUGCUUGAAAGUACACUUUGCUGGUUCCAUGGUCCAGUGACCUACCAAAUUUUGUCAUUCUUGGCUAUUGAUUGCAGAAACUAUUAAAUUAUGCAUUGGUUCAAGUCAAAUUCUUUCUACCAUGCAUGGAACUUUGCUGUGCUGUAAUAAAGUUAGAUUUGGUUAAAGUUCUUUUCUUUACUGUAAAAGAGGCAAAUGAUUCUGAUUUAACUUGACCUUCAGUUAUGAUAUUUUUGUCAUAUUUCGACUUGUUUUUGUUUGUUCAGCAAUUAUUUUUUUAUGGCAUGUGAUCAGCGUUUUGUCAUCCACAACAUAAUAUCCAAGUCAAUUGAAAGCUAUUAUCAAGAAUUAGAAGGGCAGGAAGAGAUAAUCUACUGGCAGUAUGCAUUGCUCUAUAUGCCAAAAAGGAUUUCAGCAGGGUUGUGUGCAUGUUAAGGAGUGGCAAUAAUGUAAAACUGAAAUCUUUAAAACUGCAAUGGCUCAAGCUAGGAAAAUGCAGCAAUAUUGUGAACUCAAGGAUGAGUGUUGGCGGCAAACCUUACUUGCACACUUUGGCAAGUCUUUGGAUCAGAAAGACUGUAAAUACGGUUCUAAUCGUUGCGACAAUUGUCUCAAAACCUCUUCAUAAAGGUAAAACUUUCAGGUGUCAACUCUCUUGAUGGGCGACAGGUACCGACUUACGCAUGAUCUUGAGCUACACAGUUCUGGUUCCAUCAUCUGCAAUUAUUGGAAGACCACAUGGUAAUGGAGGGGCGAAGGUCCUUAACUAAGGACACAUAAUUCUUCAGUUGUGAUGGUCUUGUCAUCUCAUGUUUGUCUUUUUCUUUCAUCUGUUGCCAUGUUCCUUGUCUGGAACUAAUUAUUUUCGUGAGGGCAAAGUAAAUGUGGGUCGAGAUAUAAGCCGGAGAGGCAUAUGGGAACACGCUGUCCGGUCUU